UGGGGAAUCUUGGACAAUGGGCGCAAGCCUGAUCCAGCCAUGCCGCGUGGAUGAUGAAGGCCUUAGGGUUGUAAAAUCCUUUCGUGGGGGACGAUAAUGACGGUACUCGGAGAAGAAGCUCCGGCUAACUUCGUGCCAGCAGCCGCGGUAAUACGAAGGGGGCUAGCGUUGUUCGGAUUUACUGGGCGUAAAGCGCGUGUAGGCGGGUCGUUAAGUUGGGGGUGAAAUCCCGAGGCUCAACCUCGGAACUGCCUUCAAAACUGGCGACCUGGACCUAAGUAGAGGCAAGUGGAAUUGCGAGUGUAGAGGUGAAAUUCGUAGAUAUUCGCAGGAACACCAGUGGCGAAGGCGACUUGCUGGACUUAUGGUGACGCUGAGACGCGAAAGCGUGGGGAGCAAGCAGGAUUAGAUACCCCAGUAGUCCCUGAGCGGGCUGGCAAGGCGCAU
rnacentral:rRNA from 1 species